UACGAAGGGUGCAAGCGUUACUCGGAAUUACUGGGCGUAAAGCGUGCGUAGGUGGUUUGUUAAGUCUGAUGUGAAAGCCCUGGGCUCAACCUGGGAAUUGCAUUGGAUACUGGCAGGCUAGAGUGCGGUAGAGGAUGGCGGAAUUCCCGGUGUAGCAGUGAAAUGCGUAGAGAUCGGGAGGAACAUCUGUGGCGAAGGCGGCCAUCUGGACCAGCACUGACACUGAGGCACGAAAGCGUGGGGAGCAAAAGGG
rnacentral:rRNA from 1 species